rnacentral:rRNA from 1 species
AGAGUUUGAUCAUGGCUCAGAACGAACGCUGGCGGCGUGGAUAAGACAUGCAAGUCGAGCGAGAUUUUUUCUUGUAGCAAUACAGGGAAAAGUCUAGCGGCGAACGGGUGCUUAACACGUGGGCAACCUGCCGAGAAGUGGGGGACAGCUCGCCGAAAGGCGGAUUAAUACCGCAUGUGAUUAGAGAGGACAUCCUUUCGAAAUUAAAGUCGGGGCAACCUGACGCUUUUUGUGGGGCCCGCGGCCUAUCAGCUAGUUGGUGAGGUAACGGCUCACCAAGGCUUUGACGGGUAGCUGGUCUGAGAGGACGACCAGCCACACUGGGACUGAGACACGGCCCAGACACCUACGGGUGGCAGCAGUCGAGAAUUUUUCUCAAUGGGGGAAACCCUGAAGGAGCGACGCCGCGUGGAGGAUGAAGGUCUUCGGAUUGUAAACUCCUGUCAUUGGGGAACAAGGUGCAUACGUUAACUGCGUGUGCAUUGAUAGUACCCGAAGAGGAAGAGACGGCUAACUCUGUGCCAGCAGCCGCGGUAAUACAGAGGUCUCAAGCGUUGUUCGGAUUCAUUGGGCGUAAAGGGUGCGUAGGCGGCGCGGUAAGUCGGGUGUGAAAUCUUGGAGCUUAACUCCGAAACUGCAUUCGAUACUGCCGUGCUUGAGGACUGGAGAGGAGACUGGAAUUUACGGUGUAGCGGUGAAAUGCGUAGAUAUCGUAAGGAAGACCAGUGGCGAAGGCGGGUCUCUGGACAGUUCCUGACGCUGAGGCACGAAAGUCAGGGGAGCAAACGGGAUUAGAUACCCCGGUAGUCCUGACAGUAAACGGUGCACGUUUGGUGUGGGAGGGUUCGACCCCUUCUGCGCCGGAGCUAACGCGUUAAACGUGCCGCCUGGGGGAGUACGGUCGCAAGAUUA